GACGAACCGUGCGAACGUUGUUCGGAUUCACUGGGCUUAAAGGGCGCGUAGGCGGUCGACCAAGUCUGGGGUGAAAUCUUUCGGCUUAACCGGAAAAGUGCCCCCGAUACUGGCCGGCUAGAGGGAGAUAGGGGCAUGUGGAACUUCCGGUGGAGCGGUGAAAUGCGCAGAUAUCAGGAGGAACACCAAUGGCGAAGGCAGCACUCUGGGACGUGACUGACGCUGAGACGCGAAAGCGUGGGGAGCAAACAGG
rnacentral:rRNA from 1 species